UACGUAGGGGGGCUAGCGUUGUCCGGAUUUAUUGGGCGUAAGGAGCGUGUAGGCGGCCAGGUAGGUCUGCUGUGAAAACUCGAGGCUCAACCUCGAGACGUCGGCGGAAACCAUCUGGCUAGAGUCCGGAAGAGGAGAGUGGAAUUCCUGGUGUAGCGGUGAAAUGCGCAGAUAUCAGGAAGAACACCAAUGGCGAAAGCAGCUCUCUGGGACGGUACUGACGCUGAGACGCGAAAGCGUGGGGAGCGAACAGG
rnacentral:rRNA from 1 species